CGUGGGUCCGCUGGGAUCAUAAAAGCCCUGCAGCUCCGCGCAGCAGACGCAGGCGCCCGGGGCAGGCACCGCAUGGUUAUUAUGUUGUUAUUAUCACUGUCACCGCCAUGAAGCUCUAGGGAGGAACAAGAGAAGAAGGAAAAACCAAGAAAGUUCAAAACGACUUCAGGGAGGUCAUGGAACCAGCUGAUCCUCGACUGCGACCCGCAAGUGGCCAGAGCGCGCUCCGUCUUGAAGGGUUAUUAUGAGGAUAAAAACGACCACAGAAUACGCAAUUGGGUUGCAAGCCUGUCUGGUUAACCAACCCCACAAUGACUCAGCUGGGAUUUUCUUCAUGUUUUGCUCAGAAAAAAAGGUCACAGGUGUCACGGGACCCCCGAGGAUGGAGGGGCGAGGGAGAUGUGGUUGCCUGCCUCUAUUCCGGAUGGAUGUCUGUAAAAAUGCAUUCCUAGGGCCCCCCGGGGGGCUCAGCAGUGGAGCGCCUGCCUUCGGCCCAGAGCGUGACCCCGGGGUCCCGGGAUCGAAUCCUGCAUCAGGUUCCCUGUAUGGAGCCUGCUUCUCCCUCUGCCUCUCUCUCUCUC